UACGAAGGGUGCAAACGUUGCCCGGAAUUAUUGGGCGUAAAGCGCACGUAGGCGGCUUUGCAAGUCUCAUGUGAAAUCCCACGGCUCAACCGUGGAAGUGCAUGGGAAACUGCAGAGCUUGAGUACUUAAGAGGAUCGCGGAAUUCCCGGUGUAGAGGUGAAAUUCGUAGAUAUCGGGAGGAACACCAGUGGCGAAGGCGGCGAUCUGGGAAGAUACUGACGCUGAGGUGCGAAAGCGUGGGGAGCAAACAGG
rnacentral:rRNA from 1 species